rnacentral:rRNA from 1 species
AACGAACGCUGGCGGCAUGCCUAACACAUGCAAGUCGAACGAAGGCUUCGGCCUUAGUGGCGCACGGGUGCGUAACGCGCGGGGAUCUGCCCUUUGCUUCGGAAUAACAGUUAGAAAUGACUGCUAAUACCGGAUGAUGUCGUAAGACCAAAGAUUUAUCGGCAAAGGAUGAACCCGCGUAGGAUUAGCUAGUUGGUGGGGUAAAGGCCUACCAAGGCGACGAUCCUUAGCUGGUCUGAGAGGAUGAUCAGCCACACUGGGACUGAGACACGGCCCAGACUCCUACGGGAGGCAGCAGUGGGGAAUAUUGGACAAUGGGCGAAAGCCUGAUCCAGCAAUGCCGCGUGAGUGAUGAAGGCCUUAGGGUUGUAAAGCUCUUUUACCCGGGAUGAUAAUGACAGUACCGGGAGAAUAAGCUCCGGCUAACUCCGUGCCAGCCGCCGCAGUAAGAC